rnacentral:rRNA from 1 species
GACGAACGCUGGCGGCGUGCUUAACACAUGCAAGUCGAACGGAAAGGCCCUUCGGGGUCCUCGAGUGGCGAACGGGUGAGUAACACGUGGGUGAUCUGCCCUGCACUUUGGGAUAAGCCUGGGAAACUGGGUCUAAUACCGAAUAGGACCACGCGCUUCAUGGUGUGUGGUGGCAAGCUUUUGCGGUGUGGGAUGGGCCCGCGGCCUAUCAGCUUGUUGGUGGGGUAAUGGCCUACCAAGGCGACGACGGGUAGCCGGCCUGAGAGGGGGACCGGCCACACUGGGACUGAGAUACGGCCCAGACUCCUACGGGAGGCAGCAGUGGGGAAUAUUGCACAAUGGGCGCAAGCCUGAUGCAGCGACGCCGCGUGAGGGAUGACGGCCUUCGGGUUGUAAACCUCUUUCAAUAGGGACGAAGCGCAAGUGACGGUACCUAUAGAAGAAGCACCGGCCAACUACGUG